GAAGUUCCCAUGAUGCGUAUGUCAUUAGACAAUCAGGGAUAUGGCACAGAUUAAGAUCAAGUCAACGAGCAGACAUGUGGUUAUUGGGAGACCGUGGAUAUCCUUGCACCCCCUGGCUCAUGACUCCUUACCGUAAUCCCAGGCCAGGACCACAGACGGCAUUUAACUCCGCGCUUACUGCCACUAGGCAGCUGGUGGAGCGCACAAUUGGGGUCCUUAAAGGGCGGUUUCGUGUGCUCCACCGCACUGGUGGCGACAUCAUGUAUUCGCCGGAGAUGGCAAGUAAACUAGUGGUUCUGUGCGCAAUACUACACAAUAUCGCGGUAAGGAGUAGCGUAGAGCUUCCUCAGACAGAGGAAUUGCCUGAUGAGGAGCCAGGGGUUGUUCGACACUUCGGUGGGGGGAGUGUUACACGGAGGGGGAGCCAAGUCAGGGCAAGCAUUGUUGCUGAAUAUUUCAGGUAUAGUGUUUUUAUAUUAUCUUUUUUAUCCAAAUUAAAAUCACAGUAUGCUUAUGUAUUAUUUGUAAUGUUGACAUUUUGUUUGAUAUUGUAAGGUCAUUGUGUAAUGCUUUUGGUGUGUUGGAAUGUGUAAUUUUUUUGAUACUAAAAAUCCGUUAACACGUUAAGCUUUCAAUUUUAGAUUUGAAAUGUAAAAAAUGUGAUGAUGCUAAAUAGUGUCCUUAUUUGUUUUAUAUCCUAAAAUCCUGAUUAUUUAAACAAACACACAAACAAAUGAAAUUGAAUGUUGCCCACUUUGUGACUGUCCAGCUGAAUGAUCACACAAACUGUGGACGAGAACAACGGCAGACCUCUCAGCCCCCUUCCCCUUCCCAGUCCCCCUCCCCUUCUCACUCCCCCUCCCCUUCUCACUCCCCCUCCCCUUCUCACUCCCCCUCCCCUUCGCAGUCCUCCUCAGCUUCC